UACGUAGGGGCAAGCGUUGUCCGGAUUUAUUGGGCGUAAAGAGCGUGUAGGCGGCCUUACAGGUCAGCUGUGAAAACUCGAGGCUCAACCUCGAGACGUCGGUUGAAACCGUAUGGCUAGAGUCCGGAAGAGGAGAGUGGAAUUCCCGGUGUAGACGGUGAAAUGCGCAGAUAAUCGGGAAGAACACCCGUGGCGAAGGCGGCUCUCUGGGACGGUACUGAC
rnacentral:rRNA from 1 species